AUAGCAUAUCAAUAAGCGGAGGAAAAGAAACUAACAAGGAUUCCCUAGUAACUGCGAGUGAAGCGGGAAAAGCUCAAAUUUAAAAUCUGGCGGUCUUUGGCCGUCCGAGUUGUAGUCUGGAGAAGUGCUUUCCGCGCUGGACCGUGUAUAAGUCUCUUGGAACAGAGCGUCAUAGAGGGUGAGAAUCCCGUCUUUGACACGGACUACCAGUGCUUUGUGAUGCGCUCUCAAAGAGUCGCGUUGUUUGGGAAUGCAGCGCAAAAUGGGUGGUGAAUUCCAUCUAAAGCUAAAUAUUGGCGAGAGACCGAUAGCGAACAAGUACCGUGAGGGAAAGAUGAAAAGCACUUUGGAAAGAGAGUUAAACAGUACGUGAAAUUGCUGAAAGGGAAACGCUUGAAGUCAGUCGCGUUGUCCGGGACUCAGCCUUGCUUCGGCUUGGUGCACUUUCCGGAUGACGGGCCAGCAUCGAUUUUGACCGCUGGAAAAGGGCUGGAGGAAUGUGGCACCUUCGGGUGUGUUAUAGCCUCCAGUCGCAUACGGCGGUUGGGAUCGAGGAACGCAGCACGCCUUACGGCGGGGGUUCGCCCACCUUCGUGCUUAGGAUGCUGGCAUAAUGGCUUUAAACGACCCGUCUUGAAACACGGACCAAGGAGUCUAACAUGCCUGCGAGUGUUUGGGUGGAAAACCCGAGCGCGUAAUGAAAGUGAAAGUCGGGACCUCUGUCGUGGAGGGCACCGACGCCCGGACCUGACGUUCUCUGACGGAUCCGCGGUAGAGCAUGUAUGUUGGGACCCGAAAGAUGGUGAACUAUGCCUGAAUAGGGUGAAGCCAGAGGAAACUCUGGUGGAGGCUCGUAGCGAUUCUGACGUGCAAAUCGAUCGUCAAAUUUGGGUAUAGGGGCGAAAGACUAAUCGAACCAUCUAGUAGCUGGUUCCUGCGAUCUUCCCCCCCCCAGAAAAUAAAA
rnacentral:rRNA from 1 species